rnacentral:misc_RNA from 1 species
AAGUCGUAACAAGGUUUCCGUAGGUGAACCUGCGGAAGGAUCAUUACAAGUGGUGCAGUCAUAUACGGUCUUGUUAUUAAUAAUAAUAAUAACAUGAUAUUUAUGACGCGCACCGUUUAUGGUCGGAUAUGCGUCGAAAUUAAUAUAUCGGCGUGUGUAUUACCGUAAAAAUGGACGAAACAUUCCCAUGUGUAUAUACACCGUAUCCAUCUUGAACCAGUAAUCGUUUACUUUUGGCAGACUUCGAGGGCUAUCUUCGACCUCUUCUCUCUCUCUAAGAGGAGGAGAGGCGGUCUGCCACUAGUACCUCUAUAUAAAUAACAAAUGUGUAUACAUACAUGCCUGAAACAAACAUAUUUUUGAUUGUAAAAAAUCAAUAAAUAAUAAAUUAAAACUUUCAGCAACGGAUCUCUUGGUUCUC